UCUCCGUUGGUGAACCAGCGGAGGGAUCAUUACCGAGUUUACAACUCCCAAACCCCUGUGAACAUACCUAUCGUUGCCUCGGCGGUGCCCGCUCCGGCGGCCCGCCAGAGGACCCCAAACUCUUGUUUUAUACAGUAUCUUCUGAGUAACACGAUUAAAUAAAUCAAAACUUUUAACAACGGAUCUCUUGGUUCUG
rnacentral:misc_RNA from 1 species